rnacentral:lncRNA from 1 species
AAUAAUCAAAUACCCAUGAACAUAUAAAUUAAAAAUAAACAAUUAAAACGAUCUCACAGUUAUGGUGCUCCGAUCCUUGAUUUAUUCCUCAACUAGAUAAAAGAACUAGCCUUGCUGCAUAAUCAUUAUGCGAUUCCAAGCUUCCAAGUAAUUUUGUCUAUGAAGAAGUAAAAGGGUGCGGCGGCUUGUCUAAAGCUUGCGUGGAGAAGUAAAAGGAAAAAAAAAACAAAAGAAUCAAAAGAUCCCCUAGUCUAUUGUAAUCCCCCCAAUUUGUAGUGCUGUCCGCCGUCCUUUUUGCUAGCCAAAAUAAGAAGUUGUUUCUCAAACGAAUUAUUUCCUUAAUUCCCUCAUUGGAUUGUUGCCAAAAGUCCUCUUUGGAAAAACUUCCUGAUCCCACGUAGCUACCAUCACUUUCCAAGAAUUGCGGUAGCCUCCAAGGAGUAGGAUCGCAUACUCCGUCCUUAUCACGCAGCUCCGCGUUAUCUGGCGUGGGCACGCCUUAGAAGCAAGAGUCUUCUGGAUUUUGCCUCCCUUUUGUCACUUUCAACACUAAUUGCCUGUAAUUAACACAAAUACUAAUUAUGAGCAGAAAUCCAAUACUUUGCAUACUAAACUGCCAAAAUUAAGACCAAAUAACCACAAAUAAAAUGCAUAAUUAUAUCCCUAUCAAAUUCCCCCACACCAAGACAAUGCUUGUCCUCAAGCGUUUCAAACUUUAAAUACACAACCCAGCGAGCAAACAUUUUUGCAGCAGUUGAAUUCAAAACAAUGGCUAUUAAUCAAAGCAACUAUUGCCAAUGUAUGAUUUAGAUAACUGUCAAGUACUAAUGACAAAUUUUACGAGAUAACUCUCCAACUAGCUUUUAAAACCAAUGACUCUUUCAAAUCCAGACUAACUAAUCUAAGAAUAGAAAAUAUCCAACCAACAUUCUUUAAUAACUGGUCUAACUAUUAAGCAAAAUCUCAACAUAAAGACUCUUGGAUCCGCAGGCAAUACAAUUAUUCACAUACUUUCAUGCUCGUAUACUUUUUCUUUCUUUUUUUUCUUUUUUUUUUCAUCAUUUUCAUUUUUUUUUUCUGUUUCUUUUUCCUCUUUUUUUUUUCUUGAAGGAAGUGCUAAGUCUUGAGCCAUUCAAGUCUUUUGACGCGAACUCCGACAUCUCUCCAAUGAAGGAGCUCGAUUACUCAACUUUAACCGCUUAAAGACCACAUACUCAUAGUUAUCGCUGCUUUUUGACGCGAAAAUCGACACUUUAGGUGAAGACCCCCGAUUACUAGUCAAUGAUAACCAGCGGAGUAUAGCCGAAUGUUAUUCACAAAUAAACACCCAAGUAAAAUUAAAACCAUGCAAGCCUGCUUCAUUUCCUUAACAUGGAGAACUAAGAUUAAUAGUUGAACCAGUUCACACAAAAAUGUCAGAAAAUAUUUACAAUGCCUAGAAAAGUUAACCAAAAGAAAUUGCAAGAGUCACAAAAUCUCAAAUAUUUACCAGAGAGACAUCCUAAAAUGUUAUCAUAUCAUACUUAACAUAUUAUCAUCUAAAACCGUAACAAUAGUUAAAUUUGAAAAUCUAGCCAUUGCUUAUCAGGGCUAACCAUAAAAAUCCAAAAGACAUGGUAAAGGUUUUUUUUUUUUUUUUUUUUUUGGAAGAAAGAAAGCAAUAAGAAGGAAAAACUAGACUACUCCCCCCCCCACACCUAAACUCUACAUUGUCCUCAAUGUAAGAACGAAAAGUUGAAGUCAAGUGAAGGGAGCAAAAAAAACCUUCCCUGAAUGAAUAAAACUGCAGCAAAACACCUGUCGCGCCCCAUUUUUUGUGAUGGAAAAUAUAAGUAUAAAAAUAGGUAUUUACAAAAUAUGUAAUUUUAUUUUAAAAUAAAUGAAAAGGACCUAAAAUGGGACUUUAAAAAAUGCGACAAUUUGGGUCCAAAUAUUUAGUCUAAAAAGGGUUUUCAAGAAAAAGGGGAGUCGCCACUUGGUAUUGAGUUUGGGUGUACCAAGUCACCCAAAAAGUGUAUUUAAAUAAAAUAAAAUAAAACCCUUUUCGACAACUCCAGAUCUUUGAAAAAUAAGAGAAAAUGGAUUCGGGAGUCACGGUUGAAGAAAGGGAAGGCAAAUGUUCGAUUAACUCAAACCAAAGGCACCCUUUCAACCUAGUCUAAGCUAGUUGCGAGGUUUAGGCAAAAUUUUUCUAAUCUAACCCUUAAUUUUAUCAUAUUUGGAUAUUUUCUACAUGGAUGCAAAUCUAAAUUUAUAAAAUACCGAAAGGGUCAAAAUAUCCAUUCAAGGGUUUAAUCGAACCAAUCGCAUUAAUUGCGAAGGCCACAAUGAUUCCUUGAAAGUGUCACGAAUAUGCGAAUGAUGAAAUUAAAAGAAAAGAAAAGAAAUUAAAUUAUAUACAUAUAUAAAUGAUCAAAGAAAAAGGGAAUGCAACAUAAAGGGUACGGGAAGGCAAAAACUCGUGACCUAAUUUUCUUAUACAAGGAUUAAUGGGAUGUUUAAACUAAAAAGUUAUAAUCACCCAUUUCUCAUGUUUGAAAAUAAUUAUCCUAACAUGAACAAGUAAAUGAACUAACUUAAAUGAGAUGCGAUUCUAAAUGACAUGCUUAGUACCUAUAGAGGGUAAGAGAUAAUAUAAUAGGGAAUAUCAUGCAAAUGAGAAAAGAUCCUAAAAAUGAAAAUAUGCAUGAAAAUGUAGUGAAUAGCACACAAAGAUGAAUAUAGCACAAGACAACCUAAAGGGUCUAGCGUUGGACUAGCCCAUUUCUAAAAAUCCUUACUAGCGUUGGACUAGCAAGUAAGCGGAGGGAGAAGCCACAACUAGCGUUGGACUAGUGUGGUGACGUCAUGCAUUAACAAUUCAUAGUAAAUCAAAUAAAGCAUAAAUUAAAACAAAUAAACACAUAAGAGCACGUAGCACAUAACACGUAAACAUAAUAUCUAGAUGCUAAAAUCCUAAGAAAAGCGGAUAAAACACAUAACACAUAAACCACAUAAACACGCAACCUAUCUAUUACAUCGGGGAGCGCCUAACUACAAUCUAGAAGGGAAAAAUAUAAUAAAACAAAUCUAAUUAUCCUAUCUAUUGCAUUUUUGAGGUUUUUAAAUGCCUCUUGAAUCAUUGUAAAAAAUUAACUAAAACAUAUAUAAGAAAAUUUGAAUGAAUAUUUAAAUCAAAUAAAUAAAGCAUAUAAAGAUAUAUAAACACAUAGGAACACAUAGGAGCACAUAAGAGCACGUAAUUGACAUUGAAAUAAUAAAAUAGGAGUACCUCCCGUUUGAAGUGGUGACUAAAUGGAGUCAAAUUGUCCUAUUUAUACUCACAAUGAACAAAAGGAUCAUGACACCAAUUUAAUUGAAAAAGAAAAUAAUAAUACAAGCACUAAAUUCACAUUAAUAUGUCAGACGUAAAGAAAUUUAAGCAAAUCUAAAAAUUACAAGUUAAGUAUAUGUUCAAAAGUAACAUAAUUAGUUAUUGAAGAAAAGAAACAAUCAUAAUAAAGAGAGCCAAAAUUUGUCAAGGGCUGAAUUGCAAAAAUUGAAAACUUUUGGGGGACAAAAAUUAUAUUUUCAAAGUUCAGGGGUUAAAAUUAAAUGAAAGAUAAAAUUCAAGGACCAACGUGAAAUUAAUUUAAGGACCUAGAUGAAAGGAAUCUAAAAUGUUCUGGACCACAGUAAAAAUACUUGAAAGCUCAGGGACUGAUAUGCGAAAACGUUUUCUUAUUCCUUAACAAAUCAGGCCACUGGGCCAUCAUUUUAUUUACUUCUGGGCCAAAAACUACCUAAGCCCAGCCGAAAAUCCAGAGAAACGAGCAGGCCAGCCCGUCAUUGUAUCACUCAAACCCGACCCAGAAAUGCAUGGGUUCUAAACCUCCGGCCCAACCGAAACCCAAAAGAAAUAAAACGAAAGCCCAACUAAAGAAAUAUAACAAGCCCACCCGAAAAUAAAAACAUUAGCCCAAACCAUUUGUUUUUCUCCUUUUCUUUCCUUUCUUUUCUUCUUUUUUUUCUUUCUUCCUAAUCCACCUUCAGCCGUUUCUUUUUCCUUCUUCUUCGACCAGCUGAGGAAGCUUCAGCUGGCGGCCAUGGCGGACGCCGGUGGCGCCGCCGCCACCGGACCGCCGUCGCCGGUGGUCGCCGGCGACCUCUCCGGUCACCGAAUUUUUCCAAAAUACACUCCCUCACUCGAUUUUUCGUGUAGGUUCCAUUUUCGGAGUUAUUUUUUACAAAAAAGGAAAGAAAAGUGGUCAAAGGGCCAAAAAACAGUCCAGUUUUUAUUUUUUCAAACACUCAAAUCUUCACCAAAAAAACAUAAAAUUUAUGCCAAAACACUCCUUACAACUUCUACAAUACAACCAUGAUUUUAAUUUGACAAGAAAACAACAUAAAAAGGAUACAAUAAAGCAAAACAGCCCCUAAAUUUCCUUUUUUUCAUUUUGGCAUUUUCGCAAGCACUUGACAUGCAUCCAUGGGCCCGUUUCUUUUUCCUUAAUUCUAGUUAUGCCAUUCCCAAAUUCAGCAACCCAACAACAUAAUGACAACAUAAACCAGCAAGAAAAGAAACAAAGCUAACGUCUACACAUGAUUAUAGUAUAACGAAUUAGAAAAUAAAAAGCUGGAAAAAGAAGAGAAAAUGAAAGGAGAUACCUCAAUGAAUAUGAAAAUCUUUCGGUUGAAGCUUGAUGAAAUUUCCAAGCCUUGACCGAUAGCUGCCUUUUCUUUUUUUUUUUGUGUUUGGAUUUUGUGGGAGAAAAUGUAUAGAGAGAGCCCUUUUUGUUGUUCCUCUUGUCUUCUUUCUUCUGCCCAAAUUCGAGAGAGGAAGAGAGUGAGGAGUGGAAAGUGCUUCUUUUUUUUCUUGUCUCUGACUUCCAAGAAAGAGCCGAGAGAGUGAGGGAGAUCCCCUGCUUUUCUUCCUCUCCUUCUGUUUUUGUUUUUUUGUUUCUUGUCCUCUGUCUGAGCUGAGAGAACAGAUUUUUUUGAGCCCCAAAAAGUCCUUUCUUGUCACUCCUCUCCCUUCGAGAGAGUGAAUUGAGGGAGUGUGUUUUGUAUGUUGUGUGCA